AUACGUAGGUCCCGAGCGUUGUCCGGAUUUAUUGGGCGUAAAGCGAGCGCAGGCGGUUUGAUAAGUCUGAAGUUAAAGGCUGUGGCUCAACCAUAGUUCGCUUUGGAAACUGUCAAACUUGGGUGCAGAAGGGGAGAGUGGAAUUCCAUGUGUAGCGGUGAAAUGCGUAGAUAUACGGAGGAACACCGGUGGCGAAAGCGGCUCUCUGGUCUGUAACUGACGCUGAGGCUCGAAAGCGUGGGGAGCGAACAGGAUUAGAUACCCUGGUAGUCAAGGGCGAAUUCGC
rnacentral:rRNA from 1 species